UAUUUUGAGAUGAUGCUUUGAAACUCUUCUUUUUACAGUACAUUUGCUUUUUACAUUUUACCCCUUCAAGGAAGGUGCCUUCUGUCUGUGUCUUCUAUAGCCAGCUCUCUCACUGCACCUUCUCUCUCUGCUCCUUUCCGAAUUAUGAGGCAUUUGCCUGAGGGAAGUGGGUGGUGUGGUCAGGGGUGCUGCCUUUCUUCAUCAAGAGCAAGUUGCCAAAACCUAAGCUAGCGAUUUUUGGCACUCACUGUCAACUCUGGUAAAAUACUGGCUGGGGAGGGAAUAUAGGGAAUUGUGCUUGGGGGAUCCUGAAUGUCUUCUGUUAAAACGCCUGCUUUAUCUGUGUGUUGGCAGGGAUGAUUGCAAACAUCCUCUCAGCAUCUCUGUCAGCAUGGGCUUUGGCUAUACUAAGUGCUUACUGUGUUUCUGGCAUUUCACAUUUUGGGAGCCACUGGAGUUGAUUGUCCUCGAUAGAGACUUGGAUACCUGUUUUCCCAACCUGGUGUCUUUCUCUCACUGGAGAAUCAUAGUGUUGCUGGAUGCAUAAAUGUGAAGCUGUGGUCUCUGACAGGAAUUGUGUUAGCAGAUUGAUGUUCAGGCUUCAGUAUCCUCCUGACUUAAAAAACAAUUACAUUAUUCAUUCAGGAAACCUUACUCAGCACCCACUAGGUGCUCAGGUUCUCUGCAAGGGACACAGAAAUGAAUGAUACGUGUUCCUCGCACAUGGCACUGUAGAGGGGACACACACAGCUGAAGAAGGGAAGGGCAGUGAUGGGGUUAUGGAGGAAGUAUGGCAGGGAAGGUGGGAGGGUGAUGCUGGAAGACAAGUGGUGGAUCCCACGCGGACUGGAAAGAAUUGCAAUAGGGGAAGCCGGCGAGUGCAGUCUGUGAGAGGCUGGAAAUGCGAAAGCCAGGAGCUGUCAGGGAACUGGGUUGCCUCCUGCAUAGUCAAGGAGAGUGUCACUCAGGCUAAUCAUAGAUGGCAUACCUACAGGCUUGGGCUGAUUUUAGAGACUUGUUCAGAGCAGUCAGGCAGGUGCCAAAGGCACAAGCCCAGUGAGAGGUGUGUUUUUGGAAUCACUUGGUAUCCAAAUCACAUGUCAUCCCUAGGAGCAAGGAGACCGGUUGAUUUUGGGGCUGGUCUGGAAUGAAGAAGCAUCUCUGAGCUUACAAAGGCUGCAUGGCCCACGGCAGUAUCUCAGUCAUGCCCUAUCCCUUUGCACAUUUGGUCCUGUUGGUUACUUCUCUGUUGACUGGCAAAAUCAGCAAGGAUAUUGGGGUGGAGCACCCUGGCUAAGUACCCUCUUGAUUAUAGAGCUAUGGAGUAGAAGUCAGAUGGAGAAUGAAAGGCCUGUGAGAACAAUCAGUCAGUUGCCACCUUUCAGAGCUGCUUGAGUUCAAAAGUGUGUCAUACAGGACAUUUUACCAUUGCUACCUUUAAGGGAUUCAGGUGGGAACCCUAGGCUGUGGCUUCACAUAAUGGAACUUGGGUGCCAUCCUACCUGUGAUGUUGAGCUGUCCAGCACUGGUGUAGGAACCUCAAGGACCGUGCUCCUCUGGUUUGGGGCCUAGGACAAACAUAGGCCCUGCAUGCCACUUGGUUCUAGGACACAUUUUCCCAUGCAAGCAAAGUUAAUGAACCAGUCCACAAGAUAACCGUUGCAAGAAUUCUUAGAGAAACAACCUGCAGGAGGGGAGCCAUGACAGAGCCCAAGAAAACCAUCCCAUCCCGAGCUCUGCCUUCUGUGCUGCUCUCACACAGUGGGGUCUGAACAGGACCCCACUGUGUCCUUGCUCUUCUAGGUGGAGUUGUGGGAGAGUGCUAAAUGCUUUGAGUGGGGCAGCCUGUGGAGUCAGAUCUCGUACUGGCUCCUUAGACCUUGGGCCGGUGAACUCCGUGUGGAGCAGGACCUGCAAUGUUGUUCUGAUGAUUAUAUCCACAGUGUAUUUUGGCACAUCUGCCAAAAGCUACAAACAGCCCCCAAUAACUACAUACUGUAUCUUAUGGGAAGGGUCCUACCGAGGAGUCCUGAAUGUGAUCUGAGUAUGCUCUAAGGCAACCCCAGAAAAAGCAAUUCAGUCCCUCUCUCUUUGC